rnacentral:rRNA from 1 species
GAUGAACGCUGGCGGCGUGCCUAAUACAUGCAAGUCGAGCGAACAGACGAGGAGCUUGCUCCUCUGACGUUAGCGGCGGACGGGUGAGUAACACGUGGAUAACCUACCUAUAAGACUGGGAUAACUUCGGGAAACCGGAGCUAAUACCGGAUAAUAUAUUGAACCGCAUGGUUCAAUAGUGAAAGACGGUUUUGCUGUCACUUAUAGAUGGAUCCGCGCCGCAUUAGCUAGUUGGUAAGGUAACGGCUUACCAAGGCAACGAUGCGUAGCCGACCUGAGAGGGUGACCGGCCACCCUGGAACUGGGACCCGGGCCGGACCCCUAGGGGAGGCAGAAGUAGGAAAUCUUCCGCAAUGGGGGAAAGCUUGACGGAGCAACGCAGGGGGGGGGAUGAAGGUCUUCGGAUCGUAAACCGUUGUUAUUGGGGAAAAAAAAAUGUGUAAGUAACGAUGCACGUUUUGACGGUACCUAAUCAAAAAGCCGCGGCUAACUACGU